rnacentral:rRNA from 1 species
AGAGUUUGAUCAUGGCUCAGGAUGAACGCUGGCGGCGUGCCUAAUACAUGCAAGUCGAGCGGUAAGGCUCCUGCAGUUUGCUUAAGCGGCAACAGGGCGGUUACAAAGUAAUCGCAUCUGUACCGAAGAGAUGAGCGAUCAUCUCUCCUAAGACCAUGGCUGGUCACGGGGUGCUUAAGUAAAGUGCUGGAGUACACGAGCGGCGGACGGCUGAGUAACACGUAGGAACGUACCCCAAACUGAGGGAUAAGCACCAGAAAUGGUGUCUAAUACCGCAUGUGCUCUAAGGAGUAAAGCUUCGGCGGUUUGGGAACGGCCUGCGUCCGAUUAGCUUGUUGGUAAGGUAAUGGCUUACCAAGGCGACGAUCGGUAGCUGGUCUGAGAGGAUGAUCAGCCAGACUGGGACUGAGAACGGCCCAGACUCCUACGGGAGGCAGCAGUAGGGAAUUUUCCACAAUGGGGGCAACCCUGAUGGAGCAACGCCGCGUGCAGGAUGAAUGCCUUCGGGUUGUAAACUGCUUUUAUCUGUGACGAAUAUGACGGUAGCAGAUGAAUAAGCUUCGGCUAACUCCGUGCCAGCAGCCGCGGUCAUACGGAGGAAGCAAGCGUUAUCCGGAAUUACUGGGCGUAAAGAGUUGCGUAGGUGGCAUUGUGUGUCGGUAGUGAAAGCGUGUGGCUCAACCAUAUAUCCAUUACCGAAACUGCAAAGCUAGAGGACGAGAGAGGUUAUUGGAAUUCCCAGUGUAGGAGUGAAAUCCGUAGAUAUUGGGAGGAACACCGAUGGCGUAGGCAGAUAACUGGCUCGUUUCUGGCACUAAGGCACGAAAGCGUGGGUAGCAAACGGGAUUAGAUACCCCCGUAGUCC